rnacentral:rRNA from 1 species
GAAGAACCUUACCUGGCCUUGACAUAGAAAGAACUUACUAGAGAUAGUUUGGUGCUAGCUUUGCUAGAACUUUCAUACAGGUNGUGCACGGCUGUCGUCAGCUCGUGUCGUGAGAUGUUGGGUUAAGUCCCGCAACGAGCGCAACCCUCGUGUUUAGUUACUAACAGUUCGGCUGAGGACUCUAGACAGACUGCCUGGGUAACCAGGAGGAAGGUGAGGACGACGUCAAGUCAUCAUGGCCCUUACGGCCAGGGCUACACACGUGCUACAAUGGGGUAUACAAAGAGCCGCAAUACCGCGAGGUGGAGCAAAUCUCAUAAAAUAUCUCCCAGUUCGGAUUGAAGUCUGCAACUCGACUACAUGAAGUUGGAAUCGCUAGUAAUCGUGAAUCAGCAAUGUCACGGUGAAUACGUUCCCGGGUCUUGUACUCACCGCCC